rnacentral:rRNA from 1 species
UACGUAGGGGACAAGCGUUAUCCGGAUUUACUGGGCGUAAAAGCGCCCCGUAGGCGGCCUGACAAGUUGGACGUGAAAGCUCCUGGCUUAACUGGGAGAGGCCGUUCAAAACUGUCAAGCUAGAGUCUGGAAGAGGAGAGCGGAAUUCCCGGUGUAGUGGUGGAAUGCGUAGAGAUCGGGAGGAACACCAGUGGCGAAAGCGGCUCUCUGGUCCAAAACUGACGCUGAGGGGCGAAAGCGUGGGGAGCGAACGGG